rnacentral:rRNA from 1 species
AUGACGACGACGUACGAUACCCGCGAAGAACAUGUACACGUGCCCUGUAUAUAUACACAUACCACCUUUGUUCUGCAGAGCCAUCCACGCUCCAUCGAUCUCCGUCUCCACAUCGUACGUUUCACCGGGGAACCAUCUAUGGUCUCCAUGGCGGCGGCCAAGCUCGCCGUCCUCCUGGCCGUGGCGGCACUCUUCGCCGUGGCGGAGGCAGCGAAUCCCCAGGAAGCCCACUGCUGGCAGUGCUACUACUCCUGCAUGCAGCAGAAGUGCGGCGGCUACCGCAACCCAGCCGCCCACACAGCCGUCGACGACGGUACGGCGGCCGCCUCCGUCCCCCUCAACUCCACCGACGGCACUACAGCCGUCGUGCACCCCGCCGAUGGUGGUGCAGCCGCCCACGUCGCCGGUGGGUACGAGAGCUACUGCAAGUGCAACAAGGCGUGCAUCCUGGACUGCUACAAGGCCCUGCCGCCGGUGUGCUACCAGAUGUGCGUCUCCGAGACCUGCUCCAAGCUGCCACCAUGUAAGCAGGCGGAAUGCUACAAAGCAUGCGGGGACAAAUGCUACCACAAGCAGCCAAGCCCGGGCCCGAAGCCGCCAAGCCCGAAGCCGAACCCAGGCCCGAAGCCGCCAAGCCCGAAGCCCACUCCGCCAAAGCCCGCACCUCCGAACCACGGUGGUUCACCGAAGCCCACGCCGCCAAAGCCCACACCUCCAAACCACGGUGGUUCACCGAAGCCCACGCCGCCAAAGCCCACACCUCCGGACCACGGUGGUUCACCGAAGCCCAAGCCGCCGAGGCCAACCCCGCCGAAGCGGCCGUGCCCUCCUCAUGCGCCCAAGCCCAAGCCCAAGCCGAAGCCGUGUCCGCCAAAGCCCAAGCCCAAGCCGCCAUGCCCAUGCCCGCCAGCGGCCGAUGGAUCCGCGUCGACCGACAUCAGCAACAACUGA